AAUCAACGCUGGCGGCGUGCCUCAGACAUGCAAGUCGAACGCGAUUUAUUCUUUCGGGAAUAGAUUGAGUGGCGCACGGGUGAGUAACACGUAGGUAAUCUACCUUUGGGUGGGGAAUAACAGCCGGAAACGGCUGCUAAUACCGCAUAAAGCAGCGGCAUCACAUGAUGACAGUUGUUAAAGCGGGGGAUCUGAAAGGACCUCGCGCCAGAAGAGGAGCCNGCGGCAGAUUAGCUAGUUGGUGAGGUAACGGCUCACCAAGGCGACGAUCUGUAGCCGGCCUGAGGAGGGCGGUCGGCCACACUGACACUGACAUACGGGUCAGACUCCGUACGGGAGGCAGC
rnacentral:rRNA from 1 species